rnacentral:rRNA from 1 species
UACGUAGGGCACAAGCGUUGUCCGGAAUUAUUGGGCGUAAAGAGCUCGUAGGCGGCUUGUCGCGUCUGCUGUGAAAUCCCGAGGCUCAACCUCGGGCUUGCAGUGGGUACGGGCAGACUAGAGUGCGGUAGGGGAGACUGGAAUUCCUGGUGUAGCGGUGGAAUGCGCAGAUAUCAGGAGGAACACCGAUGGCGAAGGCAGGUCUCUGGGCCGCAACUGACGCUGAGGAGCGAAAGCAUGGGGAGCGAACAGG